rnacentral:rRNA from 1 species
UACGAAGGGGGCUAGCGUUGUUCGGAAUUACUGGGCGUAAAGGGCUCGUAGGCGGCCAACUAAGUCAGACGUGAAAUCCCUCAGCUUAACUGGGGAACUGCGUCUGAUACUGGAUGGCUUGGAUUUGGGAGAGGGAUGCGGAAUUCCAGGUGUAGCGGUGAAAUGCGUAGAUAUCUGGAGGAACACCGGUGGCGAAGGCGGCAUCCUGGACCAACAUUGACGCUGAGGAGCGAAAGCCAGGGGAGCAAACGGG